GACGAACGCUGGCGGCGUGCCUAAUACAUGCAAGUAGAACGCUGAAGAGAGGAGCUUGCUCUUCUUGGAUGAGUUGCGAACGGGUGAGUAACGCGUAGGUAACCUGCCUUGUAGCGGGGGAUAACUAUUGGAAACGAUAGCUAAUACCGCAUAACAAUGGAUGACACAUGUCCUUUAUUUGAAAGGGGCAAUUGCUCCACUACAAGAUGGACCUGCGUUGUAUUAGCUAGUAGGUGAGGUAACGGCUCACCUAGGCGACGAUACAUAGCCGACCUGAGAGGGUGAUCGGCCACACUGGGACUGAGACACGGCCCAGACUCCUACGGGAGGCAGCAGUAGGGAAUCUUCGGCAAUGGGGGCAACCCUGACCGAGCAACGCCGCGUGAGUGAAGAAGGUUUUCGGAUCGUAAAGCUCUGUUGUAAGUCAAGAACGAGUGUGAGAGUGGAAAGUUCACACUGUGACGGUAGCUUACCAGAAAGGGACGGCUAACUACGUG
rnacentral:rRNA from 1 species